rnacentral:rRNA from 1 species
CUGAACAGCAUGCGCGUGAGGGAGAAGGCUUACUGAGUUGUAAACCUCUUGUGCCUUAAGGAAAAAGAUCUGACGGUACUAUAAGGUGGAAAGCAUCGGCUAACCCCGUGCCAGCAGCCGCGGUAAGACGGGGGAUGCAAGUGUUAUCCGGAAUCACUGGGCGUAAAGCGUCUGCAGGUGGUUUUCUAAGUCGCACUGUUAAACCUUGAGGCUCAACCUCAAAUCUGCAGUGGAAACUAGGGAACUUGAGGAUAGUAGGGGUAGAGGGAAUUUCCAGUGGAGCGGUGAAAUGCGUAGAUAUUGGAAAGAACACCGAUGGCGAAGGCACUCUACUGGGCUAUGACUGACACUCACAGACGAAAGCUAGGGGAGCAAAUGGGAUUAGAUACCCCAGUACUCCUAGCCGUAAACGAUGGAUACUCGAUGUUGGACGUAUCGACCCGUUCAGUAUCUUAGCUAACGCGUUAAGUAUCCCGCCUGGGGAGUACGCUCGCAAGAGUGAAACUAGAGAAUUUUGACGGGA